rnacentral:rRNA from 1 species
UACGAAGGGGGCUAGCGUUGUUCGGAAUUACUGGGCGUAAAGCGCGUGUAGGCGGGUCUUUAAGUCAGGGGUGAAAUGCCAAGGCUCAACCUUGGAACUGCCUUUGAUACUGGAGACCUUGAGUCCGGGAGAGGUGAUGGAAUUGCGAGUGUAGAGGUGAAAUUCGUAGAUAUCGGGAGGAACACCGGUGGCGAAGGCGGCAUCCUGGACCAACAUUGACGCUGAGGAGCGAAAGCCAGGGGAGCAAACGGG